UUUAGUUGAAUCAAAGUCUUUGACGCUAUAACAGUCUUAAAAAUCGUACGGUUUGAAAUACUAUUAAAUAUAUUUAUGUACACCAAUAAUGUAUAUAAGUACGCGAGUUCUAUAAACUGUAAGGCAUUAAUCGAUUUUCAAAUGUACAAAUAUUAGGUACUUCGUCUGGUUGUUAGUAAAUCGUAUAGGUAUAGAAAGUUUAAUAUUUCUUAUUGUUUGUUAGGUAUAUUGUUGUACAGUAAUAAUGUGUCUGUAUCGUCACUCGUGUCAGUAUGUACGUAUCGUUUAUAAUAAGGUAUUACUGUCAACAAGGUCGUAUUUAGUGGGGGAGGGGGGUGGAGUUGACCAUCCCUGGAAUUUCGAUCAACAUUGUUUAAGUUGAGUGCACGAAUAGUACUGUAAGUUGUAGACCAUUACAGUCUGUGGCAACAAAAAUAAUAUUAGACGAUUGGAUUUGAUUCUCCCUUCCCCCCCCCAAAUAAAAACACGUAAAAAAUUGGUCCAGCUACACAUUGUACGGCCGUGACUGUCGAGAAAUAGAAAAUGCAGUGACCGUCCGACGUUGUUAGAUUGUAAUAUUGUACCUAUCUGUUGUGUUGAUCGUAUUGAUUAUUCGUCCUUGGCCGUUAUUAUAUUUAAGUCCCACAGUCGUUAUUUUUCGCAUAAUAUUUAUGAUUAUUCUAUAUAAUACGUAUAUAAACGAAAAUAGUAUUAUAAUUUCGGAACCGGUGGGAAUUUUUUACGAGUAUAUAAUAUUAUAUUAUUAUGUGCGUUAACAGAGAUUGAAAAAAAGUCAAUAAUUAUUUAUAUCACAGCCAAUGUUAUAUACAUAAAAAAAAUAAAUUAAAAAAAAAAAAAACAAAAAAUAAAAAAAUAAAUAAAACAAUAAUUUAUCUAAUAUUAUUAUACCCUUAACAGUAUAUAGUAGGCAGUGGGUAAAACUACCACUAAUACUCGGAGAUAAUAAUAAGAAUACGACUUCGUUUUUUUUUUCUCUAUAUUAUAAUAAAUAGAUUUUUUUUUAAUUUAGUAAAAUUUCGUUGGAAAUGGUAAAUCAAUCGAGUUUUAGUUUUCUUUUUUUCCAUUCGUAAUAAUUAAAUAGUUAAAUUAAUUUUAGAACUAAAUUAUUUUUAUGUUUUUUUUUUUUUUCCACGCGAAAUAAUAGAAUAUUGUAUGAAUAUUCGAGCUCCGUUAUCAUAAAUAUUAUUAUCCGUCGGCCGCAGUGCAGUUAUAUUAGUGUUAUUAUUACGUACCUUCAUCGUAUUAUAUUAUAUUUCCGUCGUUACGGACUACCGACGAAAUUAAUAAAACGAGUGGUUUUUUUUUUUUUUUGAAGUUUUUGCAGGAAAUCGUCAAAUUGUAUGUGUAUACGAAAACAAUUCCCAUUGCGCGCAGGUUGUGUCAUCCGCGGUGUGGCGCUUGUGCAGUUGUGUGUAUUAGCCGUUGCUGCUGCUGCCGCGGUCGCGUAAAACAUUGACUCCUCGCGGAACAUCACGGGGCGCGUCUGCAUCGUAGGUAUUCGAAGCGAUUUUCAAUGAAAAAAAAAAAAAAAAAAAAAAUCAAAUCAAUACGCACAAUAUGGAAGCCGACGAGAUUCGAACGGCCGCCGCCGCGGCGUCCGCGAUGAAUGGCCAAGACAAACCCACCCGCUGGUGUUUUAUAAAUACGACGGGUGUUAGGUGUACGACAUCAGAUGCGUACCGCGAAUUUCGCGGUCCUCUUUCUUCCCGUCCGUCUUUCAUUCGUUCAUCGUUUCACCGUUAUUGUUUCCCUUC